GACGAACGCUGGCGACGCGCUUAACACAUGCAAGUCGAACGGAAAGGCCUGCUUUCCCUUGUGGAUUGCGGGUACUCGAGUGGCGAACGGGUGAGUAACACGUGAGUGAUCUGCCCCCAACUUGGGUAUAAGCCUGGGAAACUGGGUCUAAUUCCCGAUAGGACUGCAGGGUGGUGCCUGUGGUGGAAAACGAUUUUCUAGUGGUUGGGGAUGAGCUCGCGGCCUAUCAGCUUGUUGGUGGGGUAAUGGCCUACCAAGGCGGCGACGGGUAGCCGGCCUGGGAGGGUGGACGGCCACAUUGGGACUGAGAUACGGCCCAGACUCCGACGGGAGGCAGCAGUGGGGAAUAUGGCACAAUGGGCGGAAGCCUGAUGCAGCGACGCCGCGUGGGGGAUGACGGCCUUCGGGUUGUAAACUCCUUUCGACCGCGAGGAAGCCACCUGGUUGGAAGGGUGGUGACGGUAGUGGUAGAAGAAGCACCGGCUAACUACGUG
rnacentral:rRNA from 1 species